rfam:Adlercreutzia equolifaciens DSM 19450 DNA, complete genome.
CGAGCGGGCCAGACGGUCGCGUACCCCCUCAGGGGUGCGAGGAAAGUCCGGGCUCCGCAGGGCAAGAUGCCAGCUAACGGCUGGGCGGGGCGACCCGACGGAAAGUGCCACAGAAAAGAAGACUCCCCUGCUCGGAACAUGCGGUGCGAGCCGCAUGCGCGACACAGGAGAAAAGCUGAAACGGUGCGGUAAGAGCGCACCAGCGCGGCGGCAACGUCGCGGCUUGGCAAACCCCAUCUGGAGCAAGCGCAAAUAGGAGCGCCAUACGGUGGCCCGCCGUGCGCUCGGGUUGCGUGCUAGAGACGCGGGGCGACUCGCGUUCGAGAUAAAUGGCCGUCCCCGACAGAACCCGGCUUACAGGCCCGCUCGCCUC